rnacentral:rRNA from 1 species
CAGCAGCCGCGGUAACACGUAGGGUGCGAGCGUUGUCCGGAAUUAUUGGGCGUAAAGAGCUCGUAGGCGGUGUGUCGCGUCGGCCGUGAAAACCUGCAGCUUAACUGUGGGCUUGCGGUCGAUACGGGCAUCACUGGAGUUCGGCAGGGGAGACUGGAAUUCCUGGUGUAGCGGUGAAAUGCGCAGAUAUCAGGAGGAACACCGGUGGCGAAGGCGGGUCUCUGGGCCGAUACUGACGCUGAGGAGCGAAAGCGUGGGGAGCGAACAGGAUUAGAUACCCUGGUAGUCCACGCCGUAAACG